UGAGGCCACGCCCCCGCCACGCCCCUUAAAGGCCCGGCGGCCGUGAGCAACCGGACCCUACAUCCCGCGUGGGCUGCCAGGGGAGGACCCAGAGUCCUCCGCGAUUUCCGUCUCCAGGGUUUCCGCCCAGAUGCCAGCGAUUUCCUUCUAUAAGUUUUUGAAAUGACACUCCAUUAUCCUGGAGCUGGGCCAGAGAAGCAACCUUCCACCCUUUGACCCUCUUCCCUGCACCCCUCAGGUGAACAAUGAAAACCAACCACUUCCUGAGUUUGUGCUGUGUACAACAAACUACUGACUACUUGAAGUCACACUCAACCACUACAAGGAAAUACCUAGAAAGGACAAGGGGGAGAGGGAGUCUGAAAAAGAUGCUCACCCUACCAUGGCUUUGUGACUUGGUGCAAACAAAUUACCUAGUCUUUCUGGGCUUCCUCAUUAAGAAGGAAAAGUGAUUCCGGGAUCUAGCUUACAGGACCGUCAGGGGAUUCAUGCAUGCAUGCAGAAGGGCUUGAAGGUUUGGAAGCACAGUAUCUCAAAGUGUAUGCUCUGAGAACCGGAAGCUAUGAGAACCAGAAGCUAGAAGGCAGCGGGCAGUGGCUCUGCCACUUACUCGGAGG